rnacentral:misc_RNA from 1 species
ACAGGGUCGCGAGACUCCUAACCCACCGUGAACCUACCGUACGUUGCCUCGGUGGGCGGCCCCAGGGCGGGGCCCCCCGGCCUGCCUCGGCAGGCGCCCGCCGCGGUCACCAGGACUCAGUCUUUACCGUGCCCUCUGAGCUACGUGUUAAUGAAGUCA